GACCAUCCUCCAAGGCUAAAUACUCCUGACUGACCGAUAGUGAACCAGUACCGUGAGGGAAAGGCGAAAAGAACCCCGGCGAGGGGAGUGAAAAAGAACCUGAAACCGUGUACGUACAAGCAGUGGGAGCACCCUUUGGGGUGUGACUGCGUACCUUUUGUAUAAUGGGUCAGCGACUUAUAUUCUGUAGCAAGGUUAACCGUAUAGGGGAGCCGGAGGGAAACCGAGUCUUAAUUGGGCGUUAAGUUGCAGGGUAUAGACCCGAAACCCGGUGAUCUAGCCAUGGGCAGGUUGAAGGUUGGGUAACACUAACUGGAGGACCGAACCGACUAAUGUUGAAAAAUUAGCGGAUGACCUGUGGCUGGGGGUGAAAGGCCAAUCAAACCGGGAGAUAGCUGGUUCUCCCCGAAAGCUAUUUAGGUAGCGCCUCGUGAAUUCAUCUCCGGGGGUAGAGCACUGUUUCGGCUAGGGGGCCAUCCCGGCUUACCAACCCGAUGCAAACUGCGAAUACCGGAGAAUGUUAUCACGGGAGACACACGGCGGGUGCUAACGUCCGUCGUGAAGAGGGAAACAACCCAGACCGCCAGCUAAGGUCCCAAAGUCAUGGUUAAGUGGGAAACGAUGUGGGAAGGCCCAGACAGCCAGGAUGUUGGCUUAGAAGCAGCCAUCAUUUAAAGAAAGCGUAAUAGCUCACUGGUCGAGUCGGCCUGCGCGGAAGAUGUAACGGGGCUAAACCAUGCACCGAAGCUGCGGCAGCGAACGUAUC
rnacentral:rRNA from 1 species